ACAUCGCCCCCGACCCCCGCGUUCUCUUGUUAACUUCUGUGCAUUGUUGCCUGUCUGCACUUUCCGUCUCCAAAACCUUUGCUCUCCUCACCCCGUUUUCCCUUGUAAUUAUACCCCAGCGAUCACUAGUCUGGGUUCGAAGUGAUUGUGUGUCUCCAUAAUUGACCUGGUUGCCCCCGGUUAUCCCAGAAGUCAAAGAUGACAGAGAAAAAAAGGAAGAGCGAGGGGCUUAUCUCGUGUUCUCUACGUCAGACUCCUCUUCCCCUGUCCUUCCUGGGUGAUCUUUAUCCUUCCCAGCACUGUUCUUUCUUAAGUUAAGCACCAAGGAAGAGGGCAACUGCUUGGGCGCUGUUGGCACUCCGAAGCAGCCGCAGUGGUUCGAGAUUGCCAGUCGGACUAGCCAAGGGAGCUGCUGAUGACAAAUGCAUGAGCCACUUUUCAGGAGGUGAAAUUAUUAAAACUCUUGAGGAUGUGACCUAUUUCACAUUGAGAAAUAAGUUGCCCUGAAUGGAGUAACCAUUUUUCCUGGAAGCAGAGACUU
rnacentral:lncRNA from 1 species